AACGAACGCUGGCGGCAGGCCUAACACAUGCAAGUCGAACGCCGUAGCAAUACGGAGUGGCAGACGGGUGAGUAACACGUGGGAACAUACCCUUCGGUUCGGAAUAACUCAGGGAAACUUGAGCUAAUACCGGAUACGUCCGCGAGGAGAAAGAUUCAUCGCCGGAGGAUUGGCCCGCGUCUGAUUAGCUUGUUGGUGAGGUAACGGCUCACCAAGGCGACGAUCAGUAGCNGGUCUGAGAGGAUGAUCAGCCACAUUGGGACUGAGACACGGCCCAAACUCCUACGGGAGGCAGCAGUGGGGAAUAUUGGACAAUGGGCGCAAGCCUGAUCCAGCCAUGCCGCGUGAGUGAUGAAGGCCCUAGGGUUGUAAAGCUCUUUUACCCGGGAAGAUAAUGACUGUACCGGGAGAAUAAGCCCCGGCUAACUUCGUGCCAGCAGCCGCCGU
rnacentral:rRNA from 1 species